rnacentral:tRNA from 1 species
CAGAGAAUAGUUUAUAAAAAAUAGUAAUUUUGGAGAUUACUGAUAAGAAGAAAUUUCUUUUCUCUGA